GCAUCAUGUUGAGGAUCUGACCAUGGAUCAAGCCGAGGAUCACAUUGAGGACCUGACUGUUGAUCCAGGUGCGUAUCAUUUCCAAGACCUCACUGCGGAUCCUGUCGAGCAGAACGUUGAGCAACCAGCAGUGGCUCCUCCUGUCCCGCCUGCACCAGGUGCUUAUACAAGCGAGUCCAUGACUCAAUACCUGGAUUGCUAUUUUCAGUAAGGUACCACUCCAAACCUUCAUUUGUAUAUACCAUUGCAUUUUCAUACUUUUCUUUGUUUGAUUCUCAAACCAACUCUCAAAUUUUUAUUACACAAGAGACUGUGUAAUUUAAGUUUGGGGGAGGGUUUGGGAUGACAUUUGAUGUUGUGUUCUCUUUUCUUAUUUUGAAUUUUUAGCAUAUAAUUUGCAUUCAUAUAUGUGCAUUGAAAACCCCUAAAAAUUUGAAAAAUUUUCAGAAAAAAAUCUUUAAAAACAGAGUGAUCNNNNNNNNNNNNNNNNNNNNNNNNNNNNNNNNNNNNNNNNNNNNNNNNNNNNNNNNNNNNNNNNNNNNNNNNNNNNNNNNNNNNNNNNNNNNNNNNNNNNGUCUAGAUUGUUUCAUGUAGGACUGUUGCAUUAGCAUAGGGGGCGAUGAUGAGUUACACCUUGUUGAUUUGCUAGGAUUCACCAGUUGAGAUCAAUGCCCUGGUUGUUAGCUUUUUGAUGCAUGAUGAUUGAACUUGAAGUAAGUCUGAAACAAACUUGGAAUUCAUGAAGAGCAUUCUUGAACUUGGUUGAAACAUGUUGUGAUAUGAUCUCAUUCCUUAUCCUAUAAGAACUUAAUCUUGACUUGCAAAUAUCUGGUUGUGUUUUGCUUGCAUGCUCAUGGUCACCAUAUACAUAUUUGGAUCAUCUUCCUCCUUUCACCACUCUUGUUGAUCCAAGUAGCUGAUCUUUCUUUUGAUCAGUUUGCCACACCCACAGCCUAUCCUUUUCUUUCAAGCCAAUUGAUAAUUUUUGAGUGGUAGGUCUUUUACCGGAUUAUGCUUGGGGAGAACGUGUUAGGUAUGAGCUGACAGGAUUAAAAUCUUGAGUAGUUCUGAUUUUCAGUUUCAAAUCAGAUAGGAAUAGGUUGGGAUUCUUACUUGGGUUUGGGAUUGGGAUGAUUGUGGAAAGAAAGAAGAGAAACAGAAAAAGUUGUGUCCUUAGGAGGAGAAUGUUUUCUAGAAGUUUAUAAUCUAGUGAUUAUUUUUGCGGGGUUAGCAUGAUAUACGGAGAAUGGUUCUAGGAUGUUAAGAAAGUGAAAAAGUUUUGAUGUUUUAUAACGUAAGAAGAAAACAGAACCAUAGUUAAGAAGAAAUCCCCUAUCCACUAGUAUUGAUAAGAAACUUCUCCUAAGGCAAAAAGCAAAAAGAAAAAAAUGGGAUUGAUGUUGAAGGGUAGACAUAGGGAUCAUCCGGGUUUAGAUGAUUAGGAGUAAGCACUUGGGAACCAUUGGGUAGUCAAGGUUUUAUUCCUGUAUGCAUUUGUUGGUCCUUACCUUUAGCAUUCUCCCUAAAGCUCAAUCCAUUCAUUGAGAGAUCCUUGUCCUGAAAUUGUUUAAACCCUCAUGAUUCUCAAAACCUUUUUCUGCCUAGCCAAGUGAGUUUGUUAAGCCUUGCACAACCAGAUUCAUAUACUUGAGUAAUGAAUGUUAAAAGGAAUGAAUGAUUUGAAUGCAUGUGUAGAUCAAGGGAUAGAAUCAGUUUCGGAUUUGAUGAGUUUGUCUAAAAUCGUUAAGUAAAGUUCUCUCAGCAUGCAUCAAAGACUUAGCAACCAGGACAUUGAUUUUAACUGCUCUAUCUUGCAAGUUACAGGUUCUGAGACCCCAUUUUCAAACCUCUCUUCCACUUUGUUUCUUUUUGCUUUGCUUGAGGGCAAGCAAAGACUAAGUUUGGGGGAGUUGAUAAGUCUGUAUUUCAUUGCUUUUUGAGUAUGCAUUCAUCAUCUAUUCAGCAUCAUUCACUUGUUGAUUCGCAUCAUAUUGAUCCCUUUCUGCAUGUUUUACAUACUUAGGUAGGUUUUAUGCAUAUCAUGCAUAUCAUACAUAUCUUGCAUACAAUGUGCAUAUUUGGAGUGUCUCAGGUACUUAGGAGACAUGCAGAGCGAAGCAGAGGAACAAGCGUUACUCGACAUGCACACGAUCGAGUGGGAGGAUCGAGUGAGAAGCAAGGAUGAAUUGCAGUUACAUCGACUAUCGAGUGAGCAGCAGACGUAUACGAUCGAGUAGCGGAUCGAGCAGAAGGGAAGCGAAGCAGAACC
rnacentral:lncRNA from 1 species